rnacentral:rRNA from 2 species
CUGGAGGUAUCAGAAGUGCGAAUGCUGACAUAAGUAACGAUAAAGCGGGUGAAAAGCCCGCUCGCCGGAAGACCAAGGGUUCCUGUCCAACGUUAAUCGGGGCAGGGUGAGUCGACCCCUAAGGCGAGGCCGAAAGGCGUAGUCGAUGGGAAACGGGUUAAUAUUCCCGUACUUGGUGUUACUGCGAAGGGGGGACGGAGAAGGCUAUGUUGGCCGGGCGACGGUUGUCCCGGUUUAAGCGUGUAGGUGUGUGUUCCAGGUAAAUCCGGUUCACUUUAACACUGAGGCGUGACGACGAGGCACUACGGUGCUGAAGCAACAAAUGCCCUGCUUCCAGGAAAAGCCUCUAAGCAUCAGGUAACAUCAAAUCGUACCCCAAACCGACACAGGUGGU